UACGGAGGGGGCUAGCGUUGUUCGGAAUUACUGGGCGUAAAGCGCGCGCAGGCGGCCAUUCAAGUCAGGGGUGAAAGCCCAGAGCUCAACUCUGGAACUGCCUUUGAAACUGUAUGGCUUGAGUAUGAGAGAGGUGAGUGGAAUUCUCAGUGUAGAGGUGAAAUUCGUAGAUAUUGGGAAGAACACCGGUGGCGAAGGCGGUCUGCUGGGCAGUUGCUGACACUGAGGCGCGACAGCGUGGGGAGCAAACAGG
rnacentral:rRNA from 1 species